CGCCUCUUCUCUUUCCUCUUUCAUGGCCGCCCCAUUUUUCUUCAUAUUCUAUGGAGGUUUUCUUCUCCUUCACAACCGAGAACCAUGAACAAUAUCAUUAAAACUUCUCCCUCUCUCUCGUGUGAUUUGGCAGGGAGUGUGGUGGCAGAGCUUUGCUUCGAUGGACCUGGAAGUGCAAUGAGAGGCUUUUUAUGGUGCAGUAUGCGGAUCUACGAACGCUGGAAAUGCGUGGGGUUAUUUGUUCGUUAUUUACAACGGCCGUGACAUGUUAUGUUGUAUUUUUGACGACAAAAGUUUCCGACAACGAGUUGGUGCAUUUUUGUGAGAUAUGGGUUGUAGAAUCUCCACUGUUUCAAUUUUGAGUUUUUAAUCUUGUGCUCACUAUUUCUGUAUUUCUUGAUUUGUUUAUGCUGGACAAUGAGUUUUGUUUUGUGAAUAAUGAUGUUGCUGUGUUGUAUGGGAAUUUUUUUAUUUUUAUUUUGAAC
rnacentral:lncRNA from 1 species